CUUGCGUAGGCCUUCGUGUAACGA
rnacentral:miRNA from 1 species